rnacentral:rRNA from 1 species
CAUGUCUAAGUAUAAGCGACUAUACUGUGAAACUGCGAAUGGCUCAUUAAAUCAGUUAUGGUUUAUUUGAUGGUACCUACUACUUGGAUAACCGUAGUAAUUCUAGAGCUAAUACAUGCAGGAAGACCCGACUCACGAAGGGUUGUAUUUAUUAGAUAAGAAACCUUCCCCUUUGGGUUGCGUGCCGAGUCACAAUAACUGCUCGAAUCGCAUGGCUUCACGCCGGCGAUGGUUCAUUCAAAUUUCUGCCCUAUCAGCUUUCGAUGGUAGGAUCGAGGCCUACCAUGGCGUUUACGGGUAACGGAGAAUUAGGGUUCGAUUCCGGAGAGGGAGCCUGAGAGAUGGCUACCACAUCCAAGGAAGGCAGCAGGCGCGUAAAUUGCCCGAAUCCUGACACAGGGAGGUAGUGACAAGAAAUAACAAUACAGGGCUACAUCUAGUCUUGUAAUUGGAAUGAGUACAAUUUACAUCUCUUCACGAGGAUCAAUUGGAGGGCAAGUCUGGUGCCAGCAGCCGCGGUAAUUCCAGCUCCAAUAGCGUAUAUUAAAGUUGUUGCAGUUAGAACGCUCGUAGUCGGAUUUCGGGGCGGGCCUACCGGUCUGCCGAUGGGUACGCACUGGUGGGCGCGUCCUUCCUUCCGGAGACCGUUUCUGUUCUUAACUGAAUGGGAGCGGGGAGACGGAUCGUUUACUUUGAAAAAAUCAGAGUGUUUUCAAGCAGGCAGCUCGCUCUUGCAUGGAUUAGCAUGGGAUAAUGAAAUAGGACUUUGGGUGCUAUUUUGUUGGGUUUC